rnacentral:rRNA from 1 species
AUUGAACGCUGGCGGCAGGCCUAACACAUGCAAGUCGAACGAGUGGCGGACGGGUGCGUAAUGUCUGGGAAACUGCCGGAUGGAGGGGGAUAACUACUGGAAACGGUAGCGAAUACCGCAUACCAUGGGAUGUGCCCAGAUGGGAUUAGCUAGUAGGUGGGGUAACGGCUCACCUAGGCGACGAGCCCUAGCUGGUCUGAGAGGAUGACCAGCCACACUGGAACUGAGACACGGCCCAGACUCCUACGGGAGGCAGCAGUGGGGAAUAUUGGACAAUGGGCGAAAGCCUGAUCGAGCAAUGCCGCGUGUAUGAAGAAGGCCUUCGGGUUGUAAAGUACUUUUGUCGGGGAGGCGUUACUCACAGAGGAAGCACCGGCUAACUCCGUGCCAGCAGCCGCGGUAAUUC